AACGAACGCUGGCGGCAGGCCUAACACAUGCAAGUCGAACGAGUGGAGGACGGGUGAGUAAUGUGUGGGAAACUGCCUGAUCGAGGGGGAUAAAUACUGGAAAACGUAGCCAAUACCGCAUACUCUCGGAUCGGCCCAGAAGGGAUUAGCUAGUAGGUGGGGGCAAGGCUACCCAAGGCGACGACCCCGAGCUGGUCCGAGAGGAUGACCGGCCACAGUGGAACUGAGACACGGUCCAGACUCCUACGGGAGGCAGCAGUGGGGAAUAUUGGCCAAUGGGCGCAAGCCUGCUGCAGCCAUGCCGGGUGUAUGAAUAAGGCCUUCGGGUUGUAAAGUACGUUCAGCAGGGAGGCGUUACCCACAGAAGAAGCACCGGCUAACUCCGUGCCAGCAGCCGCGGUAAUAC
rnacentral:rRNA from 1 species